rnacentral:rRNA from 1 species
UACGGGGGGAGCAAGCGUUGUUCGGAUUCACUGGGCGUAAAGCGCGUGUAGGCGGUCUGUUAAGUCGGAUGUGAAAUCUCCGGGCUCAACUCGGAAACUGCAUCCGAUACUGGCAGACUUGAGGAUGGUAGAGGUCGGUGGAAUACCAGGUGUACCGGUGAAAUGGGCAGAUAUCUGGUGGAACACCAGUGGCGAAGGCGGCCGACUGGGCCAAUCCUGACGCUGAGACGCGAAAGCCAGGGUAGCGAACCGG